AGGGUUUGAUCCUGGCUCAGGGUGAACGCUGGCGGCGUGCCUAACACAUGCAAGUCGAGCGGUGCAGUUUGAAGCUUCGGUGGAAAGCUGCAUAGCGGCGGACGGGUGAGGAAAACGUAGGAACGUGCCCCUUGGAGUUGGAUAGCCACGGGAAACUGUGGGUAAACCGACAUAGACUCGAGAGAGUAAAGGCCGAAAGGCGCCAAGGGAGCGGCCUGCGGCCCAUCAGGUAGUUGGUAGUGUAAAGGACUACCAAGCCGACGACGGGUAGCCGGUCUGAGAGGAUGGCCGGCCACAAGGGCACUGAGAGACGGGCCCUACUCCUACGGGAGGCAGCAGUGGGGGAUUUUGGACAAUGGGCGAAAGCCUGAUCCAGCGACGCCGCGUGGAGGACGAAGCCCUUCGGGGUGUAAACUCCUUUUCUCAGGGAAAAAGGAUGAUGGUACCUGAGGAAUAAGCCCCGGCUAACUACGUGCCAGCAGCCGCGGUAAUACGUAGGGGGCGAGCGUUACCCGGAAUUACUGGGCGUAAAGGGUGCGUAGGCGGCCUUGCAAGUCCGGUGUUAAAAGCCCUGGCUCAACUAGGGAGAUGCGCUGGAAACUGUAAGGCUUGGGUGCAGCAGAGGCAGAUGGAACUGCUGGUGUAGGGGUGAAAUCCGUAGAUAUCAGCAGGAACGCCGGUGGAGAAGUCGGUCUGCUGGGCUGCGACCGACGCUGAGGCACGAAAGCUAGGGGAGCAAACCGGAUUAGAUACCCGGGUAGUCCUAGCCGUAAACGAUGCUCACUUGGUGUGGGGGCAUAGAGCCUCUGUGCUGAAGCGAACGCGUUAAGUGAGCCGCCUGGGGAGUAUGCCCGCAAGGGUGAAACUCAAAGGAAUUGACGGGGGCCCGCACAAGCGGUGGAGCAUGUGGUUUAAUUCGAUGGUACACGAGGAACCUUACCUGGGUUUGACAUACGGAGGGAAGUGGCAGCGAUGUCACUGCGUAGAGAUACGGCUCCGUACAGGUGCUGCAUGGCUGUCGUCAGCUCGUGCCGUGAGGUGUUGGGUUAAGUCCCGCAACGAGCGCAACCCCUACUCUUAGUUACCAGCACGAAAGGUGGGGACUCUAAGAGGACCGCCGGCGACGAGCCGGAGGAAGGAGGGGAUGACGUCAGAUACUCGUGCCCCUUAUGCUCUGGGCGACACACGCGCUACAAUGGUAUGGACAACGGGAAGCCAGGUAGCGAUACUGAGCAAAACCCUAAAACCAUACCGCAGUUCAGAUUGUGGGCUGAAACCCGCCCACAUGAAGCUGGAAUUGCUAGUAAUCGCGGAUCAGCCACGCCGCGGUGAAUACGUUCCCGGGCCUUGUACACACCGCCCGUCAAGCCACCCGAGUUGCGGGCACCCGAAGACGCGUACUCUUAGGGGGCGUGUUGAGGGUGAACGUGGUGAGGGGGGCUAAGUCGUAACAAGGUAGGUGUACCGGAAGGUGCGCCUG
rnacentral:rRNA from 1 species